GAUUAACGCUGGCGGCGUGCCUAAUACAUGCAAGUCGAGCGAAUGGAUUAAGAGCUUGCUCUUAUGAAGUUAGCGGCGGACGGGUGAGUAACACGUGGGUAACCUGCCCAUAAGACUGGGAUAACUCCGGGAAACCGGGGCUAAUACCGGAUAACAUUUUGAACCGCAUGGUUCGAAAUUGAAAGGCGGCUUCGGCUGUCACUUAUGGAUGGACCCGCGUCGCAUUAGCUAGUUGGUGAGGUAAUGGCCCACCAAGGCGACGAUCAGUAGCUGGUCUGAGAGGGUGAUCAGCCACAUUGGGACUGAGACACGGCCCAAACUCCUACGGGAGGCAGCAGUGGGGAAUCUUCCGCAAUGGACGAAAGUCUGACGGAGCAACGCCGCGUGAGUGAUGAAGGCUUUCGGGUCGUAAAACUCUGUUGUUAGGGAAGAACAAGUGCUAGUUGAAUAAGCUGGCACCUUGACGGUACCUAACCAGAAAGCCACGGCUAACUACGUGCCAGCCGCCGCAGUAA
rnacentral:rRNA from 1 species